rnacentral:lncRNA from 1 species
GAGGCUUUGAACGCCUUAGCGCUUCCUCUGCUUUACAGCUUCCUUCCACCCCACUUCUUUUGCUCUCUUCCAGGUAUUUCUGGCAGAGGAAAUGCCUUUCUGGCUGCCCCGGGGUGUGUCUAGGAGAUGGGCAGCGCUGUCCAGCCCAUGGGGAGCCGGGUGCCCUCCUGGGUUGGGUCUGCAGCGAUGCCAGGCUGAGCACCCCCAGCCGUGGGGACGUGAUCCCCAUCUGUCAUCCUUGAUAUAAACCUAAACCCCAUCUCCUCCCUGCAUUUUGUAGGAUCUGUGCUUUUCCCCUGCAGUCCUGAGUCAUGCAGAUAUCAGAAGCAGACAGGGAGGAGGGGACACCUGCAAAACUUCCCAAAACCACCCGUGGUGGGGACAUGGGGACAGACAGACAGCGGACACGUCCCCUUUUGCCUCGGGGUGAUGCUUAGAGCUCGAGCAGAGCUGAGCUCACCAGGAUGGUUGGGAACAAUCCCUGCUCAUGCCACCAGCCCCUGCUCCCCCCACUCACGUAGCCCCCAGCACGGCAGCCUCCCGAGAGCUUCGCAGCGCUCCCGGGCCAUGCGCACCGAAAGGAAAAAAGCCUCGCUAAUUAUAGUUUGCAUUUCUGUGCGCAGGAGAGCGAGUGCUUUCAUGGAGAGAGGCUCCUUCAUCAAUUAAUAAUCUUUCGUCUCGGAGUUUCGGAGGAAGAUGGGGAGAAAGCGGCAGCGGUUUUAAUGCUUAAUGUGCCUUUUCUAGGGAAACAGGGGCACGUGGUGGGGGGUGGCGUGGAGCAGCUUCUCCCUGAGCCCCGUGUGUUGCAGGAUCUGCGCUGGGGGGCAGCUCUGGAGGAGCCGCAGCCUGGAGUCGUGACCGAAGCUUGCUGGGUCUGUGUGGGACGCCCGUGGCCCUCAGGUGAGGGGGAAUCAGGCCCGUGCUGCCCGCAGGUGGGCUGGGGGCUGCGGGUGGGUGUGGGGGGGCUUGGGGCCGGCCACUGGCGGCUGCCUCUCAGCCCGUGCCUCCCGGCCUGCCCCGCGCCCCAGAUCAACCCCCCGCGGGCUCCCCGCCGGGGCUCCUCCCGUGCAGUAACAGGUGUGAGCAUCCAUGCAGCAUUUUGGUGGUCAUGUAUGAUACUGCACACAGCACGAGCCUGCCUUCGGCCGCGGGGAUGUCCCCGUAUGGCCUUUGGGUUCCUUUCUUUAACCCGUACCAUAUCGGUUUAA